rnacentral:rRNA from 1 species
CCUACGGGUGGCAGCAGUGAGGAAUAUUGGUCAAUGGUCGUGAGACUGAACCAGCCAAGUAGCGUGAAGGAUGACUGCCCUAUGGGUUGUAAACUUCUUUUAUAAAGGGAUAAAGUGCGGCACGUGUGCCGUUUUGUAUGUACCUUAUGAAUAAGGACCGGCUAAUUCCGUGCCAGCAGCCGCGGUAAUACGGAGGGUCCGAGCGUUAUCCGGAUUUAUUGGGUUUAAAGGGAGCGUAGGUGGGUUGUUAAGUCAGUUGUGAAAGUUUGCGGCUCAACCGUGACAUUGCAAUUGAUACUGGCAGGCUUGAGUACAGUUGAGGUAGGCGGAAUUCGUGGUGUAGCGGUGAAAUGCUUAGAUAUCACGAAGAACUCCGAUUGCGAAGGCAGCUUACUGAACUGCCACUGACGUUGAUGCUCGAAAGUGUGGGUAUCAAACAGGAUUAGAUACCCCUGUAGUC